ensembl:lncRNA
ACGCUAUUCUGUAGGACCUCCAAUAUCAGUUUAGUAAUAACUGCUAUCUGCUCGUUGUGGAGGCUGAUGGUGUCUGACCAAGAUCUCCCCUGAGAAAACACAGACCAGCAGCUCAGCCUUCCAGAGAGAAGAUGGAGCAGUUACAGAAGGAACAGGGGAUGUUAAACUAGUACGGAAUUAAAAUGUCAAUAUAGAACAUAUUUCAACCAGUGAAGAGCAGGCAGCCAGGCUAAAGCAGCAAGAAUGUAGCUCAGAGGAACAGAAUUAUAACUUUGUUCAACGAUGGAACAUUUAUCACUUCAAUUAAGGCAAAAUAAAAAACAAACAAACAACAACAACCCUACAAAGUUAUACUUAUUAAUUGUUCGUCACUUAAGUUUAUGAAGAACAUUUCACGUCUCGGUAAAAUAAAAGUAAGGCGGGAUCCAACUAUUACACCCACUUCCGGUGUUUACUGUGUGAUAAAGGUUCAAAAAUUAACGAUCGUACAGAUAAAAAAAAUCGUGACGGUGUUCUGAAGACGUUUGGUUCCCCAGCGCUGGAGAGACAACUUCAUCUUUUCUCCUCUUUUGGAUGCACAACAACAACAACAACAUCGACAGCAAAUAAUUAUGGACUUUUAUUUGGGAAACGCAACUGCAGGAAGAUGAAGUUCUGUCUUUUGCUUUACUGGGUUUUGCUGCCAGCAGCAGAAUGUGGUUCCCAUUCUCUUGAGUUCUUGUCUACAGGACGUGUUCAGCCUGGAUCUGGGCCCCAUUUUGAACAAGUUACAGAGUUUGAUGGAGUUGUGAUCUCUCACUGUGACAGUGGGACACAACAAGAACACUUCAAACCCGUCCUGGAAUCCCACAACUUACCUGGGACCUGCAGACCAGCAUGUUAUGAUGUUUUUGAUGCUCUCAAAGCGAUUUCUAAAUUCACCAAUCACACACGGAAUGUUCAGCGGCGGCGUGGCUGCAUCACGUCAGACGAGAGGCUUGAAUCUGCUUUUGACAACUGGGCAGUGAAUGGAGAGGGUUUCAUUCAGUUUGAUGCUGGAGCUCAGAAAUGGAAAGCCCUGUCUCCUUCUGCAGAAAUGAUUAAAGAUUCGUGGAACGGCUAUGAGGCUCGGAACCAUUUGUUUGGACAAUUCAUCAGGAGAUACUGUCUAGAAAUGAUCCACCACAUCAAAUUAAGAGAAAUAGAAAAAAGAACAGAUCUCCGUGUGUUUGCCAACCCUGUUGACAGAACCAAGGCAUUGCUGAAGUGCCACGUCACCAGUACUGACAAAUCAGUGCGUUCAGUGUCUCUGACUGAAGACGGGGCCCCCAAGGCAAACUGGAUCACUGUAACUGGCCCGUUGCCUUCUGGGGAUGGAUCAGUGAUCCUCAUCCUGACAGCUGAGGUCCCCCUGAUCCACACCAACAUCUAUGGCUGUGUUGUCCAAACAGAAGACAGAAACAUCACUGUCAUGUGGGGUGAGAACUUUACAUUUACAUACUGCUGCAUGAUUGUUAUUGAGUCAUGAUCCAGGCUGCACACAGGCCAGUGGGAUCUUAUUGUUGCUGGGGGGGUUCUGGUGUGUUGGGUACUCUGGUAAAAGUCCCUCAUGAAGAAGCUCUGAAACGUUCCUGGUGAUUCUCUGGUCUUCCUCCGUCUGAAAGCAGACCUUUGGAUCUUUUCUGGCUGAGAUUACAGCAGUGUUGGUCAUUAACUCUGUCAGAAACGGCUGUUUCGAUGCUGUUGAAACUUAUUUGAGACUUAUUUUUUUGUCUCUCCACAAGUUUUUUUGGGUUUUUUGGCCCAUUUAAUUAACAACAUUCAACGUGCUUCACAUGUUUCCAGAAAGAAACGAGCUACUACAGAGUUACAAUUUGGUACAGGCAGUGGAAUAUACAGAACCACCCUCUGCCAGCAGGGGGCGCUGCAGCAGCUCAGCACCCACCUUUCUAUCGUCUUGGCACAGAAUUAUCAGUGCGCAACGUUGAGCUUCAGUCUGUGUCCAGGCCUCAGACAACUGUCGGCAUGUCACGUUGGUCCAGACAGUUAAUAAAUUUAACAGUUGAAAUACUCUAAAUAGAGUCAGUUACACUUUCUGUUAUUCAGAGCACAGCUUUCAAAAUAUUAAAAAUAAGUUUAUUACAAUAACACAUAUGACGACAUGCUGCAUAGAGUAAAGUAUGGCCAGUUUGGUGAUUACAAUAAUCAUGUUUUUGUUGUUUAUACUCUUUUAUGAGCAGAUGGAAACACACUUGAUGGACAACACAUCCUUUACAUCCAGAUGACGCUUUGGAGAAUUAUCGGCAUCAUCUUUACAGUUUGUUGUUUAAUCUCCGUAAUGACUGUUUGGUGUAAGUCUCACUUCUUUGAUUGUAACUUUCAAGUCAGUCUGUGAGCUGAUAUUUUACUAUUGUGGCCCUGCAUUAAUAGAACGUUAAUGAUGUUUCUUGUGAAAAUCCAAAGUCACAUGUACUGUAAUAUUUGGACUGUGUUGUCAUCCAGUAGCAGAGCUUUGAGACUUAUGCUGCUGACACGGGUCUAACCUUCACUGACUGGCAUCUUUUUUAAGAAGCCAAGAAGCCAAACUUUGGAAAACUUUAGCACUUUGACCCUAAAUUCAGUAUUAAUGAUCUUGAACUUUUUAAAUCAGAGCUUAACACUCAUCUUUUAAAACUGCCUUUAAACACCUCGUAAUGCUGUCACUUUAUGUCUGGUUUCAUGUAUUUUGUGUUAUUUACUCAUUCAUCUCUCCUUUAUUUUGUUUGCAUCAUCUUUAUUUUAUGUAAAACAGUUUGGUCACUUAUUUCUAUAUAAAAAUCUUAUAUGUUGUUGAAUGUAUGAUGACUUUAUUUCUGUUUCUGAAAGACUGGUUUCAGUUACAUCCUUGGUGAAGUUGAAAUUUAACUCUGAAGUUCUUCCUUGAAGAAUCAAAUCAGAUUGAUUUGAUUUAUGCUGCUGACACGGGUCUAACCUUCACUGACUGUCAUCUUUUUUAAGAAGCCAAACUAUGGAAAGCUUUAGCACUUUGACCCGUCUUAUGUUAUGAAGUUCUUCCUACAAGAAUCUAACAAAUUCAUGUGAAACUGGUCCACUAAUCUUGUGUGUAAAAUAGUAAACUGUUUAACUGUUUGUAAAAUAACUUGCAGAACUUGAAAUCAUUAAGAGUUUCGCUUUUUUUCAUUAUUAAAUGUUUGUAAAUAUUGUAUGUUUUUACUUCCUGCAAUAAAUGAGUUUUAUUUUUGUUAAGAGCCUGUGUGAUAAUGUUUAUUUUCAUUUACAUGAGGGAAUGUCUGAUUAGAUGAGGUGGUUACCAUUGUCUCAUCACAGCAACAAGGUUGUGGGUUCCAAUCCCCUGGGAUCGCAGCUUUAUCAGUGCAGUUUGGAAGUUCUCCCAGGAUGUUUCAUGAAAUGACCACUGACUCUUUUAGUUCAUUUUGAAAAAAAACAAAAAACUUUAAUUUGGCCAGGUUUAGUUACAUAUUUGGUCUCAUAUUUUAGUCUUUUUCUGGUCAUUACAGUACCGGUAAUGUCCUGCUGAAACACCAGUACUUUUCAUACAAAGAGAAUCCACACCGAAACCUCUGAAUGUAGAAGGUUUAGGGCAGAACACUGGCUGAACAGGUUCAGGGACACUGUUCUGUCAUCUGUCACCUGCAGAAAUGAUUAAAGAUGUGUGGAACAACCGUGAGGCUCAGAACCAUUUGUUUGCCACCACUUUAACUGGCCCGUUGCCUUCUGGGGAUGGAUCAGUGAUCCUCAUCCUGACAGCUGAGGUCCCCCUGAUCCACACCAACAUCUAUGGCUGUGUUGUCCAAACAGAAGACAGAAACAUCACUGUCAUGUGGGGUGAGAACUUUACAUUUACAUACUGCUGCAUGAUUGUUAUUGAGUCAAAGCAAUACAGGCUGGAACUUACUCUCACAGAAUUAACAUUCUGCAAAAUUAAAGGGACUUUUUUUUC